CGGACGGGUGAGUAACGCGUGGGGAACCUGCCCUGUACAGGGGGAUAACACUUAGAAAUAGGUGCUAAUACCGCAUAAGCGCACAGUAUCGCAUGAUACAGUGUGAAAAACUCCGGUGGUACAGGAUGGACCCGCGUCUGAUUAGCUGGUUGGCGGGGUAACGGCCCACCAAGGCGACGAUCAGUAGCCGGCCUGAGAGGGCGACCGGCCACAUUGGGACUGAGACACGGCCCAGACUCCUACGGGAGGCAGCAG
rnacentral:rRNA from 1 species